rnacentral:rRNA from 1 species
CCUACGGGAGGCAGCAGUGAGGAAUAUUGGUCAAUGGGCGCGAGCCUGAACCAGCCAAGUAGCGUGAAGGAUGACUGCCCUACGGGUUGUAAACUUCUUUUAUAAAGGAAUAAAGUGAGGCACGUGUGCCUUUUUGUAUGUACUCUAUGUAUAAGGAUCGGCUAACUCCGUGCCAGCAGCCGCGGUAAUACGGGGGAUGCGAGCGUUAUCCGGAUGUAUUGGGUUAAAAGGGUGCGCAGGGGGCCUGUUAAGUCGGGGGUAAAAGCCCGGGGCUUAGCCCCGGCGAGCCGUUGAAACUGGCGGGCUUGAGUUGGAGAGAGGUAGGCGGAAUGCGCGGUGUAGCGGUGAAAUGCUUAGAUAUCGCGCAGAACCCCGGUUGCGAAGGCAGCGUACCGGCUCCACACUGACGCUGAGGCGCGAAAGCGUGGGUAUCGAACAGGAUUAGAUACCCCUGUAGUC